GGCCGGAUGUACCUGGACGCCGCCCGCGCAGCCGCCGGCGGCGGCAGCGGCAGCAGCUCGUGCUCCUGUUUGCAGGACCGCCUGCCCAGCAUAUGGUCCAGCGUGUCGUCGUUGGAGGAGUACUGCAGGCCGCAGCCGUGGCGUUGGUGCGCCGCCGUCUUGGCCUCGCCGUGCCCGUGUUCGGUUUUACUGCCGCGCUUGCUGCGGCAUCUGCCUGACGACUCUUUGUGGUGGUGCUUCUUCUGGAACACCCUGCACACCACCCAGCCGUCCUCCUGCCCGCCGUCGGACGACGCGGCAGCAGCGGCUACCUGUCCAACACGACAUCGCCAGCGGUGUUAAUUGUAUUUGUUGCUACCUUUUUAAGGCACAUGAAGCUAGCACAUGGCAAAGUUCAAUAAUUAGUACUGCCUCCGUCCCUCCUACUGCUCUCCUCAUCGAUCAAUCAAUCAAACAAG
rnacentral:misc_RNA from 1 species